AGUUUUCCGAAUCUGUGCUGAGAUUUCAUCAGACACCAACACAUUAGAGCUUAUCAGACUCCUAAGAUAAGCGAAGUC
rnacentral:pre_miRNA from 1 species